GUAAUUAUUACAAUACUUUCCGCCAGAGAACUACAAGUGAAAAACUUGAAACUCAAAGGACUUGACGGUGUCCCAUAUCGACCUAGAGGAGCCUGUCCUAUAAUCGAUACCCCCCGUUCCACCCAACCCCAACUAGCAAAAUAUCAGCCUAUAUACCGCCGUCGACAGUCUACCCCAUGAGGGUUCAACAGUAGACACAAUAGCCUUAACGCUAAUACGUCAGGUCAAGGUGUAGCAAAUGUUGAGGAAAAGAUUGGCUACAUUUUUUAUGAUAAAAAACACGAAUUGCACUAUGAAACACUGCAUGAAGGUGAAUUUAGUAGUAAAACAGACAAGAGUGUCUGUUUUAACAACGCUCUGGGACGCGU
rnacentral:rRNA from 1 species